rnacentral:rRNA from 1 species
CGUAACAAGGUUUCCGUAGGUGAACCUGCGGAAGGAUCAUAG